UACGUAGGAUGCAAGCGUUGUCCGGAAUUAUUGGGCGUAAAGAGCGAGCAGGCGGCAUACCAAGUUGGACGUGAAAUUUUAGGGCUUAACCCUAAAGGGUCGUCCAAAACUGGUGAGCUAGAGUGCAGGAGAGGAAAGCGGAAUUCCCGGUGUAGUGGUGAAAUGCGUAGAUAUCGGGAGGAACACCAGAGGCGAAGGCGGCUUUCUGGCCUGUAACUGACGCUGAGGCGCGAAGGCUGGGGUAGCGAACAGG
rnacentral:rRNA from 1 species